rnacentral:rRNA from 1 species
GCAUGGCUCGGUGUGAAAAACUCCGGUGGUAUAAGAUGGACCCGCGUUGGAUUAGCUAGUUGGUGAGGUAACGGCCCACCAGGGCGGCGAUCCAUAGCCGGCCUGAGAGGGUGAACGGCCACAUUGGGACUGAGACACGGCCCAGACUCCUACGGGAGGCAGCAGUGGGGAAUAUUGCACAAUGGGGGAAACCCUGAUGCAGCGACGCCGCGUGAAGGAAGAAGUAUCUCGGUAUGUAAACUUCUAUCAGCAGGGAAGAAAAUGACGGUACCUGACUAAGAAGCCCCGGCUAACUACGUGCCAGCAGCCGCGGUAAUACGUAGGGGGCAAGCGUUAUCCGGAUUUACUGGGUGUAAAGGGAGCGUAGACGGAUGGACAAGUCUGAUGUGAAAGGCUGGGGCUCAACCCCGGGACUGCAUUGGAAACUGCCCGUCUUGAGUGCCGGAGAGGUAAGCGGAAUUCCUAGUGUAGCGGUGAAAUGCGUAGAUAUUAGGAGGAACACCAGUGGCGAAGGCGGCUUACUGGACGGUAACUGACGUUGAGGCUCGAAAGCGUGGGGGGCAAACAGGAUUAGAUACCCUGGUAGUCCACGCGGUAAACGAUGAAUGCUAGGU